UACGUAGGGGGCAAGCGUUGUCCGGAUUUAUUGGGCGUAAAGCGCACGCAGGCGGUUUCUUAAGUUUUGAGUGACAGGUGGGGGCUCAACUCCCACAGGCCUUGGAAAACUGGGAAACUUGAGGACGAGAGAGGGAUGCGGAAUUCCAGGUGGAGCGGUGAAAUGCGUAGAUAUCGGAAGGAACGCCGGUGGCGAAAGCGAGCUGCUGGAUCCCUCCUGACGCUGAGGCGCGAAAGCCAGGGGAGCGAACGGG
rnacentral:rRNA from 1 species